AGUGUUUCAUUCGGCCAAGACACUGCAAAAUUGCAGUCUGCUUCUUCUGACUGUUGUGAAGUGCAACAGGCUAUCAUGCACUGGCUCCAGCGAACACAAUCUUUUCCACCCUUAAAUGCAUGGCAAACGACAGAAGGUAAAUUACUGCUCUCUACAAUGUGUCAAUUUUCUAAAGGAUUUAAAACGACAUAAGAAGUAGUCAAAUUAGUGCCUUGAUUUGUAGCAGAGAUAAAUGUUGGCUUAUGCAUCUAAUAUCUGAUUUCUUUUUCCAAUCCAUUUGACUUAAACAUAUUUCACAAAAUCUGUAACUUAUCCGUUGUAAGUGUAAUGGAAUUUGGUAUUUUCAGAUAUGGAAGAUUGGUUUUACCUUGUUAUAUCCUGCUAUCCUGUACGGCAAAUUGAAGGAGCGAAAGGGCUAAGACCAGAAAGAUAUGUCAGCUCUACUGAGAGAAUGUUACUGUUUGAAUUAUUUCAGAAGCAGAGAAAGAAUUCAGCAUUAUCUGUUAUAAACAAGC
rnacentral:lncRNA from 1 species